CCGAGUUUACAACUCCCAAACCCUUAUGUGAACCAUACCUAUCGUUGCUUCGGCGGUGACGCCCCGGCUCCCCGAGCCCGGACCCAGGCGCCCGCCGGAGACCCCAAACUCUUGUAUUUGUUUCAGUAUUUUCUCUGAGUGGCAAACGCAAAAAAUAAAUCA
rnacentral:misc_RNA from 1 species